UUUACAUGUCUAAAAUUUUAAAUGAUUUGGAUUUAUAGGAAAAAAUUAACAUUCAAAUCCGGACAGAUCAUUAGAUUAGCCUCAUAAUGGCCCAAAUUGAAUCUGAGCCAUUCGUGUUUAUUGUAGCUUGUAUGCCCAUGGGCGAUCUUUUCCCACCUAUAAGAGAGGAAUUAUUUAACAAUUUACCCCUUUGGACUAUUACCAACUCAAGGCCAUGCACUAUUUUAGGUGUUUUGAAAUUAAAUAAAAAUAUAUCUAAAAUGCUAAAUAAUUAAUCGCUUAUUUGUAUAUUGACAAUUUUCCCUUUCAUUUGUUGCAAUUGGCUAAUGAGGAAGGAUUCUAUAAGAUUGAUGCAAUUGUUUAAAUUGAACCAUUUUGUAUGGUACUAUGGUUUUCUAUAUCUCUGUUGCAUCACUUAUAUUCGACUCAAUUACUUGUUAGAAAAAAGUGUUCAAAUGUAUUUUUUUUUUAAUUUACCUAAUGGGGAAGGAUUUUUUUUUAAUUUACCUAAUGGGGAAGGAUUUUUGCAGGAAUGAAGAGUUAGUGAUUAGGGAACUUGUUAGGCAUGUUUCAGUCAAGUUGGAGUCUAUUGCAUGUUGCUGCUCACCUUGUUGGGCUCUAUUCUCAGAUUGAUGAUGUGAUGAGUUUUUUAGAAGGCCAUGCUAUUGAUGUUCAGAUUAUUGGGAUCCAUGGCAUGGGUGGCAUUGGUAAGAUAACUCUUGCCAAGGCAGUGUUCAACAAAAUAUAUUCCAAUUUCCAAGGCAGUGGUUAGGAAAUAAGGCUUGGGUCAAGGCGGUAGCAGCUGGAUUGUUAUAGUCUCAAGUUCCAUUUCUAUGUAACCUUGUCAAAAAAAUAAAUUUCCUAGGCAGUUGUUUUCUCUUAGAUGUUAGAGAAUCGUCUAAAACAAAUGAUGGGGUUGUUAACUUCCAGAAACAACUACUUUAGGAACUGUUUAGUGAAGGAGAUGCAAUUAUAUAAUGUUGAUAGAGGCAUCGAUGUUCUUAAGAAUAAUAGGAUUGGGUCUAAGAAAGUUCUUGUUGUAAUUGAUGAUCUCAAUAGUGAGAAACAACUCAAAAAAUCGGCUAUUAACUCUGAUUGGUAUCAUCAGAGAGUAGGAUCAUCAUCACCACCAGAGAUGAGCAUGUGUUAAAUGUGAAUAAUAGAGUGGAUAAGUGUCAUAUCUACAAGCUCAAGGAAAUGGACAGCAAAGAAUCUUUUCAACUCUUCAAUUGGUACGCAUUUGGGAGGGACGAAUCCAUGCAAGGAUAUGCCGAGCUUUCUUAGGAUGUGCUAUCCACUGCUAGUGGACUUCCACUAGCUCUUGAAGUAACUUAUGGGAUGAGACACUGGAUGAGUGGAAAGAUGUAGUAGCAAAUUUGAAAUAUUUGUUUCAUUUCUUCGUUCAAAUCAUCAAAACUUAUUUUCAGCUUUGGCAUGACAUCAUUUUCAGUGGAAAGAUGCUGUAAAAAAUCUUUAUGAGUGAUCUUUGCAAUAGUUUCCUUAUGGAAAUAUUGUGGUUUUUGGAAGGAGACUAUUGCGAAUGUCACUCAUUAAGAUUAAUAAUGAGAGUAGGUUGUGGAUGUACCAUCAACUUCGUGACAUGGGGAGAGAAAUUGUUGAACUCGGGUGAUCUUGGAAGGCAUAGUAGGUUGUGGUCUAAAGAAGAUGCCAUUAUUGUGUUAAAGAACCACAAGGUUCGAGGCCUAAUGCCCUAGGGGAAUGAUCAGGAGGAGAGUUGCAAAACUAAAGUAUUUAACCAAUGACCAAUCUCAUGCUACUCAACAUUAGUCAUGCGAGUCUUAUUGGAAUCUUGAAAGAUAUUUCAUCAGAAUUGGUGUGGCUACAAUUGUGGCAAUCCCCUUUAUGGUACCUCCCAGAUGAUUUUAGCCAUGGAAACUUGUUGUCCUUGACUUGUCAAAGAGUGACGAUGUCCUUCACUUGUCAAACAACACCACCAAGCAGGACCUUUACAUCCAUGCGAUUUGGCCCUUGUACCAAAAAUAUCAACAUGCUUUUAAGGUAAGUUGCAAUCUGCUUCUUGUACAAGAUGAAACUGUUGGCAAUAUUUGAUGAAUACUUAAAACUUUUUUCUGAAUUAUGACGCAUUUGAAGUGAUUGUAACUGCCCUCAUUCAGUUCUAAAUUCCCUCACCCCAUAAAGUCAAAAAAAUUUGAACCUGAUGGACAGGUGGUAAUGCUCUGAACAACUGCCAUUUUUUUUAUGCUGUUAAAAUAUUCUGCAAGUUGUAACUAGCCCUCAUUCAGUUCUAAAUCCCUUAACCGCCGGGAAGUCCAAAGAAUUUGGACCUGAUGGACAGGUGGUAAUGCUAUGAACAACUGCCAUUUUUUUCUAUGCUGUUAAAAUAUCAUAGAAGCAAAUCUUACUCAAAAGUUAUUGUAGAUUCCAGAGGUGGUGCCAGCAAUAGCUGAAGAGGAUGAAGAUACUCUAAUAAAAAAUAUUCGAAGGCAUAUGACCCUAUGACCAUUGAAGAUAAGGGAAGAUAAGGAAAUGUUUCCAAUAUGAUGGGUCGUCCAUAUUAAGGUCUGUGUUUCGUCCAAGCUUGAUUAUGGAGCUCCACUUGAUGGAAUAUACAUUUCUGUUAAUGAAUUUUGUUCUUUUCGACUAAUGGAUUCUGUGAAGUGAGGUUUCAUUAACUUUCUUUGCUACCGCAUAUCGUUUGUUUCUCCAUAGCUAGCUGUGACGAAAGCUGAAGCUGUACGCAAUAAUGAUUGCCCUGUGAAUAUUAAGCUGGUCGCUACUCUCUUUUUUGUUCUUUCCACUUAGACUUUGGAUUAGGUUUGUGUGCAGGUUCUCAUGAUAUUAGAAAAGGUUGAGAAAAAUAUACCUUAGGCAUAAUUGCCAAUAAUUAAAAUGAUUAUCUUGCAGGUGUAAUUGUGGCCAUAAUCUA